rnacentral:lncRNA from 1 species
GGUGGUGGUGAGCGAGAUUUAUUUGUGACCGUAGAUUUCUCAGUUUUGCUUCUUCCGGCGGACUCUUUCUUUGCAGAUGAUGUUUUGGAGGGUCUUUUCCUUUUUUUCACAUCUUCAGAUUCACUCCCAGAAUCACUCUUAUCUUCCCUUUCAGAUUUUUGUGGCGUUUCAUCUUCAGAUUUCUCAGGAAUAUCAUUUUCAGGUUCAUCAUCAUUUUCUUCAUUUUUCUCUUCUCCCUCUGAUUCAUCUUCUGUGUCAGUUGUGCUCUUUUUCUCCACUCCUGAAGAAUCUUCAUUUUUCUUCUG